rnacentral:rRNA from 1 species
CCUACGGGAGGCAGCAGUGAGGAAUAUUGGUCAAUGGGCGGGAGCCUGAACCAGCCAAGUCGCGUGAGGGAAGACGGUCCUAUGGAUUGUAAACCUCUUUAGGCGGGGAGCAAUGCCGGGCACGCGUGCCCGGAGGGCGAGUACCCGCAGAAUAAGCAUCGGCUAACUCCGUGCCUGCAGCCGCGGUAAUAGGGAGGAUGAGAGCGUUAUCCGGAUUUAUUGGGUUUACAGGGUGCGUGGGCGGAUUUUUACGUCAGCGGGAAAAUGUCCGGGCUAAACCCGGGCCGGCCGUUGAAACUGGGGAGCUUGAGUGCAGAAGAGGAGAGUGGAACUCCAUGUGUAGCGGUGAAAUGCGUAGAUAUAUGGAAGAACACCAGUGGCGAAAGCGGCUCUCUGGUCUGUAACUGACGCUGAGGUUCGAAAGCGUGGGUAGCAAACAGGAUUAGAUACCCCAGUAGUC